AUUCAGAGUCCACAGAAAGCGCCCUCUGCUUCGGGCCUGCUGCGCGGGGCGUACCGGGAUUUGUAGGCCAGGCAUUUCCCAGGAAGCUUUGCACGGGCACUCGCCUGGCGGCCUCCUCUGAAGCUCUUGACCGGGUGGGGAGCGGUAGCACGCCCGCGAGGCUGCAGAGCGCCGGAGUGACGGCAGGGGACGCACGCGCCUCGCCACUGCUUUUCGAGCCUAAUCAUUCCUUGAAGAAGGGGGUUGUGAGAGAUGAGUGAGGGGCCCAGGGCUCUGAUUCAUGCUGAGGUUGUAAGAGCCACAGAUGGAUUUAAGAGAAGUUGGGACAGCCCCACCCCCACCCCAGCCACAGGCAAGUCCCAGGUCAUGGAGAAAACAUGACUGCUGAUGACCAGUGAACUGGAUCCAGGCCCUCGGAGGCUCCUCAGCCCCUCCUCUGGUUUUGGAAUGUGGGUUCUGCUGGACGCCCUCACUCCCAGAGGCUGCUCCAAGGACACAGCCUUGAGUUAGUUCGGUGGUGUUCAGAGCAACUGGACGGCAUACAUGACUGAACCCAGGUGAGGCCUCUGUCUCAACUUGUGAGUGUGGCGAGUGGGCAUGGAGACCUGCACCUCGUGGCUCCCCAUGACUAGCCUCGUUCCCUUGCUUAUUAAACUUUCCACCCAGCAGCCUGGUGGCCUGCCUCUUGCUUCGGUCUCUCCCUGCUCCCUGUGUGGGGGCUGGUUUCAGAUCACACCUGGGAAGCCUUGGAGGAGCCUGUGAACCAGCCUUAUCGUCUGUGCCCUUGAGGCUAUUAAUGCUUAUUGUACCUGUGUAAUAGAAAUGCUCCUUAAUGGGUGUCCUGCUGGCAUUUCUUCUCAGCUUUGUGAUCAGUGACAUCAUGUUGGUGGCUUGAAGUUGGCCAUGAUGGAAAUAUUUACACCAUAGAAAUCAGUAAAUGUUGUAAGUCAAAGCUUUUCUGUGAUUAUUGUUCAACAUCUGCCAGCAUACCACUCACUACAAGCAAGCUUUGGGAACCGAGAACACCUUCCUAUUUCUGAGGAAACCGGUAAAUGAGGGAAAAUAAGGCAGAAAAGUAAGACAUGAAGUGCUGGUAAUGUGUAGGAAAUUUCCAGGAAAUCCUGACUGAUAAUUAGAAAGAGAGGGCCUCUGGGACGCCUGGCUGGCUCAGUCAGUAGAGUAUGUGGCUCUUGAUUUCCGGGUGGUGAGUUUGAACCCCAUGUUGGAUGUAGAGAUUACUAAUAAUAAUAAAAGAGAGAGAGGGCUUCUUACUUCCAUGAAUGUAACACCAUGUUUGGUAUCAUUUUGGACCCCUUGUGUGGAUAAGAUGUGGCCCAGGAGCUCCUCUGGGGCUUUUGAGUACACUUCUUGCUUUUGGUCCAAAGGCAGUACUGUAGCACCAGGGACUACCUGCACCUUCUCAGAGGAUGAGGGUCAAAAAAGGCCCCUCUAAGUACACAGUGGCUAUUCAGUUCAGAAGGCUGCACAACAUGAUUUUUCAUCAAGGGUUGCAAGAAGGGCUGGGGCAGUGCACAGCCCCAUGUCCUGAUACUACUUUCAUGGCCAAAGGAGAAAGGCUGGAGGUCCUCUGGGUUGAGAAUGAGCUUUUCUGGGAGGAGCACAGGGUGCGGCUUUGCUGGUGCCAGGGCACAGGGCAAGCGCACUUCUGUAUUAUUCGUUGUAACCCCUGGACAGCUGAUCGAUCACCUGCCACUCGAGAGCACUGUUGAUCUAGAAGGAACACUGGCAGGCAGGCCUCCAAUCAGACUAAAGAAUAAGAUGGGCUUGCUCAGGGGGCACCUGGGUGGCUCAUUCAGUUAAGUGUCUGACUACUAGUUUUGGCUCGGGUCAUGAUCUCACUGUUUUGUGAGUUCGAGCCCCAUGUACGACUCUGCGCUGACAGUGCAGAGCCUGCUUGGGAUUCUCUCUCUCUGCCCCUCCCCCAUUGUGCUGUCUCUCUCAAAAUAAAUAAACUUUAAAAAAAAUUAAAUAAAUAAAUGGAUUGUUCAGGUGUAGGUCAAGAAGAGUUCGUAGGAUUGGAAGCAGGUCUGGGAUUCAGGAUGCUGAGGCCAACCUGGGCUUUAGAGAAGAACUUCCAUCCCUCCACCCCUACCCAGGAGAAGGGGCUUUGGCCCAGGGGUGGGGGCUCUCUGAGGUCUCAGGAGGCAGCACCAGUGUGGGGGUUGGCAGGAAACACUCUUGCCCAUGAACUGGAAGCAGAAGCCAAGUAGGAGGCCUCAGAAAGCACAGAAGAGCCUGAACCUAUCAGGGGAGCAGUUGGGGGGGUGGGGUGGAGUUGGAUCCCAAAUCAGGGUCUCUGAGGCCAGGGGAACAGAUCUGAGAGACAGACAAGAGAGCUCACCUAAGUGUGUGUGUGGCUUUUAUUGGGCAUCCACAGGUGGAAGCUUCUAUGGGACUACUGGGUUCAGGUGGAUCUAAAUUAGAAUUUAUUUUCCUCCCCAAAUGUGGUCUUACUGAGUUUCCCAGCUAGGUGAAAUGGUGAUUCCAUGAAUUUAAUUAGGAUUAAACUCUUUGCAUGCUGCAUCCCCUAGAUACCAUCUGACUGUUUUUCAAAUCCAUCCCUUCUUUAAAAAAAAUUUUUUUUAAUGCUUAUUUAUUUUUGAGAGAGAGAGGGAGAACAUGAGUGGGGUAGGGGCAGAGAGAGGGAGACACGAAAUCCAAAGCAGGCUCCAGGCUUUGAGCUGUCAUGACGCAGGGCUCAAACCCAUGAACUGUGAGAACAUGAUCUGAGCCAAAGUCAGAUGCUGAACCAACCAAGCCACCCAGGUGCCCCAGGCACCCCUUUUUUUUAUAUCCAUUGCCAUGGCCAUAUUUUGGGCUCUAAUUGGUUUCGUUUAAUAGAAUUUUAGUUGUUCUUCAUACCUACUACCUUGCUGUCCUCCAAAGCAUCCAGAGUGAUCUCUCAGCACAGAAACAUGAUUAAUUCCCUGCUCAGAAUUCUCCAUGCCAGGAUAAAAUCUAAACUCAAAAUGUUGCUUUUAUAGCUUGUGCCCAAGAAGACAAAUAGGCUUCAGUCCACGUUUGCUCUCAUUGGAACAUUUCCAUUCCCAAUUGUCUGCUUUCCAUACCUCUUUUGGAUCUAGAAGUGAUGGCUCAGAAUCAUUCUUAAUAAUUUGUGAUCUGUAGUGUUUGAGAGAUGAGUUUGGACUUUUUGACUGUGUGUCAUUUCUUUGACUUGUGCCCUAUACUCAGUCAAGGACAACUGUUAGAAAAUAUUUGUUAUUAUUAUUUCUUAAUUCUUUUUGCCUUUUCCCUAUGACCUACGAUAGCUAUGGUAAGAGCAAAGGCAUCCUGUGCUGUUUCCAGUGAGAGAUCCUUAGACCGUAGCCUGAUUCUGGUGGGUGGUCUUAAUGCUCUGGAACAAAUUUCUCCCACAGCGUAAUUGUUUGGAGGUUUUACUUGCUCAUACCCAGCAAUCCAGAUUUGCUUACCAUCUCUUGUGCUGUUGCUUUGGCUUUGCUUACACAAAGUUAUUGGAGAUCUGGCAAACAAUCUGGCAGUCUGGUGGAUUGCUAGGGCCUACUUCAGAGUCGGUUAAUGAACCAUCCACUUUGCGGUGUCUCUGCUAGGGUCACAGUGAUGCCAAGUUGUGAUACUGGCUUGAUCUGAAAAGUAUUGGAAACGAUGGAAAUGUGCAUAAUGUUUUUCUAGCACCUCACGCUUCCAACUCAGGAAAGCGUUAGGAGGCUUCAGGAACUAGAGGUCUCCUCCUGCUUUGCUGGGAGAUGAAAUGAACAGUGAAAAGAACAAUAAUGGUGACUUCCCGAAGUUACCUACGAAGUUGGUGCGAGAUCAUGACCUGAGCCGAAGUCAGAUGCUUACCCAACUGAGCCACCCAGGCUCCCAAAAGACCAGCCUUUUUUAAAAGG